GAUGAAGAACGUAGCGAAAUGCGAUAAGUAGUGUGAAUUGCAGAAUUCAGUGAAUCAUCGAAUCUUUGAACGCACAUUGCGCCCGCCAGUAUUCUGGCGGGCAUGCCUGUUCGAGCGUCAUUUCAACCCUCAAGCCCCCGGGUUUGGUGUUGGGGAUCGGGCUGUACUCCAGCCCGGCCCCGAAAUCUAGUGGCGGUCUCGCUGCAGCCUCCAUUGCGUAGUAGCUAACACCUCGCAACUGGAACGCGGCGCGGCCAAGCCGUUAAACCCCCAACUUCUGAAUGUUGACCUCGGAUCAGGUAGGAAUACCCGCUGAACUUAAGCAUAUCAAUAAGCGGAGGA
rnacentral:misc_RNA from 1 species